AGUGAACGCUGGCGGUAGGCCUAACACAUGCAAGUCGAACGGCAGCACAGUAAGAGCUUGCUCUUACGGGUGGCGAGUGGCGGACGGGUGAGGAAUACAUCGGAAUCUACUUUUUCGUGGGGGAUAACGUAGGGAAACUUACGCUAAUACCGCAUACGACCUACGGGUGAAAGCAGGGGAUCUUCGGACCUUGCGCGAUUGAAUGAGCCGAUGUCGGAUUAGCUAGUUGGCGGGGUAAAGGCCCACCAAGUCGACGAUCCGUAGCUGGUCUGAGAGGAUGAUCAGCCACACUGGAACUGAGACACGGUCCAGACUCCUACGGGAGGCAGCAGUGGGGAAUAUUGGACAGUGGGCGCAAGCCUGAUCCAGCCAUACCGCGUGGGUGAAGAAGGCCUUCGGGUUGUAAAGCCCUUUUGUUGGGAAAGAAAAGCAGCAGGUUAAUACCCCGCUGUUCUGACGGUACCCAAAGAAUAAGCACCGGCUAACUUCGUG
rnacentral:rRNA from 1 species